rfam:Camelus ferus unplaced genomic scaffold scaffold393, whole genome shotgun sequence.
GAGGGUAUAGCUCAGUUGGUAGAGUGCUUGCUUUGCAUGCACAACGUCCUGGGUUCAAUCCCCCGUACCUCCA